rnacentral:rRNA from 1 species
AACGAACGCUGGCGGCAUGCCUAACACAUGCAAGUCGAACGAGACCUUCGGGUCUAGUGGCGCACGGGUGCGUAACGCGUGGGAACCUGCCCUUAGGUUCGGAAUAACUCCCCGAAAGGGGUGCUAGUACCGGAUAAUGUCUUCGGACCAAAGAUUUAUCGCCUUUGGAUGGGCCCGCGUUGGAUUAGCUAGUUGGUAGGGUAAAAGCCUACCAAGGCGACGAUCCAUAGCUGGUCUGAGAGGAUGAUCAGCCACACUGGGACUGAGACACGGCCCAGACUCCUACGGGAGGCAGCAGUGGGGAAUAUUGGACAAUGGGCGAAAGCCUGAUCCAGCAAUGCCGCGUGAGUGAUGAAGGCCUUAGGGUUGUAAAGCUCUUCUACCCGGGAUGAUAAUGACAGUACCGGGAGAAUAAGCUCCGGCUAACUCCGUG